rnacentral:rRNA from 1 species
GAUGAACGCUGGCGGCGUGCCUAACACAUGCAAGUCGAGCGAUUUACUUCGGUAAAGAGCGGCGGACGGGUGAGUAACGCGUGGGUAACCUGCCCUGUACACACGGAUAACAUACCGAAAGGUAUGCUAAUACGAGAUAAUAUGCUUUUGUCGCAUGGUAGAAGUAUCAAAGCUUUUGCGGUGCAGGAUGGACCCGCGUCUGGUUAGCUAGUUGGUAAGGUAACGGCUUACCAAGGCGACGAUCAGUAGCCGACCUGAGAGGGUGAUCGGCCACAUUGGAACUGAGACACGGUCCAAACUCCUACGGGAGGCAGCAGUGGGGAAUAUUGCACAAUGGGCGAAAGCCUGAUGCAGCAACGCCGCGUGAGCGAUGAAGGCCUUCGGGUCGUAAAGCUCUGUCCUCAAGGAAGAUAAUGACGGUACUUGAGGAGGAAGCCCCGGCUAACUACGUGCCAGCCGCCGCAGUAAGAC